rnacentral:rRNA from 1 species
UACGGAGGGUGCAAGCGUUAUCCGGAUUUACUGGGGUUAAAGGGUGCGUAGGUGGAUUUGUAAGUCAGUGGUGAAAUCUCCGAGCUUAACUCGGAAACUGCCAUUGAUACUAUAAGUCUUGAAUUAUCUGGAGGUAAGCGGAAUAUGUCAUUUAGCGGUGAAAUGCUUAGAUAUGACAUAGAACACCAAUUGCGAAUGCAGCUUACUACGGAUCGAUUGACACUGAGGCACGAAAGCGUGGGGAUCAACCAGG